ACUGAAUAGAUACCCGGGUAGUCCUAGCCGUAAACGAUGCACAUUAGACGUGAGGGGUAUCGACCCCCUUCGUGUCGACGCAAAAACGCAUUAAAUGUGCCGCCUGGGGAGUACGGCCGCAAGGUUGAAACUCAAAGGAAUUGACGGGGGCCCGCACAAGCGGUGGAGCAUGUGGUUUAAAUUCGACGCAACGCGAAGAACCUUACCUGGGCUUGAACUGCUGGUAGUAAAACUGAUGAAAGUCGGGAUGAACCGUAAAGCCGGUUGCCAGUAGAGGUGCUGCAUGGCCGUCGUCAGCUCGUGUCGUGAGAUGUUGGGUUAAGUCCCGCAACGAGCGCAACCCUCACCCUAUGUUGCCACGUCCGUAAAGGACAGCACUCUUAGGGAACCGCCUCGGACAACGGGGAGGAAGGUGGGGAUGACGUCAAGUCACCAUGGCCUUUAUGUCCAGGGCUACACACGUGCUACAAUGGCCGGUACAACGAGCAGCAAAUCCGCAAGGAGAGCAAAUCUCUAAAAGCCGGCCCCAGUUCAGAUAGUGGGCUGCAAUUC
rnacentral:rRNA from 1 species